CCCAAAUCGGAACCCUACCAUAGCCGCGACUUCCAAAUCUUCUUUUAAUUAAGAAGCUCUCCUCCGGAUUCAAGCAGUCUGCCCAUGGCGGCGAUGGCGUUCUCUGCUCCGAUAGGCACGGGGAGGCUUGCGUCGUUCAUCGGUGUCGAAUGCAGGUCUGAUGGCGAUUGCACCUGGUUCGAUGGUGAUCUUCUUUACCAUUCUCUUGUUUUUGUUUCCCUUUCUUCCUCUCCUCUUCUUUUCCUAACUCCUAAAUCGGAACCGUCGACUUUCAAAUCCCAAUCCCUCGUCCCGAUCCAAGCAAUCCCACGGGCACGACGAGACCUGCGCUGUCGCUUUUCGGUGGCGGGUUGGAGCGUUGGACAAUCUCCGACAAUUCCUCCUGAUUCGGUGAGGCGUGAGAUCGCAAAGCCGCCGUUAUUUCUAUUAGGAGAUUUUGGUCGUUCAUGAAGGGAGGGACUACCUGAUCAUCCGAUGAUCGUCACACCUGGGGCUCGUCAUGAUCAGGAAACCGACACAAGCUGCAAACUAUUCAUUGACCAAGAUGAAGGCACUCUCUUCAUUGUGUUUCGUCGAGAGCGAAUUAUGAGCGGGGGCGAAAUGUGGUAUGCGGCCGGAUGUCUGGUAUCAUUUACACGCAUGAUGAAACAUCAUAGGUGCAAUUUGUCGAAUUGGACGCAGGAUUAACAGGGAAAAGAUUACAUGCUUAGAAUGCUAGGAUGGUCAAUAUGUUAAUUUGUAAGGUGUUAGGUAAAUAUCCAAUAUGCCGCAAGUUUGGUGUGCUUUUGUUUCGAGAGGAUAGGACAGAUACUUACGGAAAAGGCAUUUCCAUUUAAUUACGGCCUUAUAUUGCGGGAUCUUUUGGGCCAAGCAUCAUUGUGUUGCAGGUCCAUUGAGAUCCCAGUUAUUCUUGGGUCCUACAUGGCUCCAGGCUUAAUUUGAGAUCUAUGUACCAGCUCCUGUAGGCUUCCUUCCCUCCUAUAUGGCCCUCGGUCUAUUUGCCUCUUGAUGCCCAUAUUAUUUGUAUUUGUACUGUGUUCUUUAUUAUGGUGUGCCAUAGAGUAUUCUAUAUUUUUGUGUUA